rnacentral:lncRNA from 1 species
CCACCCUCCUUUCCUUCUCCAUUUACCCGAAAACAUUUCCCCACAGUCUUUUCGCAAAGCCGUCUCCCCACUUCUGCUCACCUCCCUCUUUUCCCGCUCCAUCGACCCCCCAGAAUUUUCCCCACCGUCUUUCAGUCUUCCCCCCUUUCCCACUGGUCAUCUUCUUUGCCCUACCUGCUUGCCACUCUCUUUUCUGCGCUCCAUCUACCCCAAAUUACUUUCCCAUUUUUUUCCAACCCUCUUUCCCCGCUCCCUCUCGCCACCCUCUGUCCUCCUCCUCGUCACCCUCUUUUCCCCCUCCAUCUACCCAAACACUUUUUACCCACCGUCUUUUCUUUCUCCAUCGUCUUUCUUUUCUGCCCACUAUCAUGUUGCAAAACCUUGUCUUCCUCCCGCUGGCUACCCUCUUUUUCCUUCCCCUGCUUGUUACCCUCUUUCCCUCCCUCUAUCCAAAAACUUUUCUCCCUACUGCCUUUUCACAAAACCUUCUCUCCCUACUGCUUGCCCCCAUUUCCCCCUCUACCACCCUCUCUUUCCUCCUUCCACUUGCCACCCUCUUUUCCAACUCCAACUACCCGUUAACUUUUUCCCCACCGUCUGUCUGCAAAACCUUCCCUCCCUCCUGCUCCCCAUCCUGUUUUCCCCUCCAUCUAACCAAAAACUUUUUUUCCCACCACCUUUUCCCCACUGUCUUUUUGCAACGCGUACUCCUGCUCGCUAUCCUCUUUUCCCUUUGGCACUAAUCACCCUCUUUACCUCCCUCCAUCUAUCCCAAAACUAUUUUCCUGGUCUUACCGCUCCAGCCGCGCUGCCGUCUCCCGUCGCCGCCGCCGCAACCAACCUCAGCGAGGCAAGCCGCGGGACAGCGGCUCCAGCCUCCAGCAUAGGCCUGUAAUUACCCAUUCCGGGUCCUCUAACCUGGGCACUGAGCAGUUCUACGCGAAAAUACGGGAACCUGGAAGGGCCUGACUUUCCUUCAGCAUCAGUCAUGCACCGAGCUUAUAUACAGGAGGAUUCCUGAACUGCAUGUUUUGAUUGGAUGAGAGAA